rnacentral:rRNA from 1 species
UACGAAGGGGGCUAGCGUUGCUCGGAAUCACUGGGCGUAAAGCGCACGUAGGCGGAUUCUUAAGUCAGGGGUGAAAUCCUGGAGCUCAACUCCAGAACUGCCUUUGAUACUGGGAGUCUCGAGUCCGGGAGAGGUGAGUGGAACUGCGAGUGUAGAGGUGAAAUUCGUAGAUAUUCGCAAGAACACCAGUGGCGAAGGCGGCUCACUGGCCCGGUACUGACGCUGAGGUGCGAAAGCGUGGGGAGCAACAGGG